rnacentral:misc_RNA from 1 species
GAUGAAAGAACGUAGCGAAAUGCGAUACUUGGUGUGAAUUGCAGAAUCCCGUGAACCAUCGAGUCUUUGAACGCAAGUUGCGCCCGAAGCCUCGGCUAAGGGCACGUCUGCCUGGGCGUCACGCAUCGCGUCUCCCCCAAACCGCCAUGGCGGAGGGGAAGGAAGAUGGCUUCCCGUGCCUCACCCGGCGCGGUUGGCCUAAAUUAGGAGCCCGCGGCACUUAGCUCUCGCGGCUAUAGGUGGUGAACAAGGCCUUGGCCGUGCAAACAACCCGCCGCGAAGCUCUAUGCCAUGUGCGCUCGUCGGACCCUUUGAAGUUGCCUUUGGUGACUUAAAACCUUUGCGACCCCAGGUCAGGCGGGGCUACCCGCUGAAUUUAAGCAUAUCAAUAAGCGGAGGA